rnacentral:tRNA from 1 species
GCCUCCUUAGUGUUAAUGGUUUAGCAAGCCUGUCUUGUAAACAGGAAGAGAGGGUUCAAAUCCUUCAGGAGGCU